rnacentral:sRNA from 1 species
UCAUAGCCCCGAUAGAAGCGGCAUCCUUUUUCUGCGGCGGCUUGUAAAGGUGCGGGCGAAAAAGAUACAGCGGAUAGCGGGAUUAAGC